rnacentral:rRNA from 1 species
GGGUUGUGAGGUUAAGCGACUAAGCGUACACGGUGGAUGCCCUGGCAGUCAGAGGCGAUGAAGGACGUGCUAAUCUGCGAUAAGCGUCGGUAAGGUGAUAUGAACCGUUAUAACCGGCGAUUUCCGAAUGGGGAAACCCAGUGUGAUUCGUCACACUAUCAUUAACUGAAUCCAUAGGUUAAUGAGGCGAACCGGGGGAACUGAAACAUCUAAGUACCCCGAGGAAAAGAAAUCAACCGAGAUUCCCCCAGUAGCGGCGAGCGAACGGGGAGCAGCCCAGAGCCUGAAUCAGUGUGUGUGUUAGUGGAAGCGUCUGGAAAGGCGCGCGAUACAGGGUGACAGCCCCGUACACAAAAAUGCACAUGCUGUGAGCUCGAUGAGUAGGGCGGGACACGUGGUAUCCUGUCUGAAUAUGGGGGGACCAUCCUCCAAGGCUAAAUACUCCUGACUGACCGAUAGUGAACCAGUACCGUGAGGGAAAGGCGAAAAGAACCCCGGCGAGGGGAGUGAAAAAGAACCUGAAACCGUGUACGUACAAGCAGUGGGAGCACGCUUAGGCGUGUGACUGCGUACCUUUUGUAUAAUGGGUCAGCGACUUAUAUUCUGUAGCAAGGUUAACCGAAUAGGGGAGCCGAAGGGAAACCGAGUCUUAACUGGGCGUUAAGUUGCAGGGUAUAGACCCGAAACCCGGUGAUCUAGCCAUGGGCAGGUUGAAGGUUGGGUAACACUAACUGGAGGACCGAACCGACUAAUGUUGAAAAAUUAGCGGAUGACUUGUGGCUGGGGGUGAAAGGCCAAUCAAACCGGGAGAUAGCUGGUUCUCCCCGAAAGCUAUUUAGGUAGCGCCUCGUGAAUUCAUCUCCGGGGGUAGAGCACUGUUUCGGCAAGGGGGUCAUCCCGACUUACCAACCCGAUGCAAACUGCGAAUACCGGAGAAUGUUAUCACGGGAGACACACGGCGGGUGCUAACGUCCGUCGUGAAGAGGGAAACAACCCAGACCGCCAGCUAAGGUCCCAAAGUCAUGGUUAAGUGGGAAACGAUGUGGGAAGGCCCAGACAGCCAGGAUGUUGGCUUAGAAGCAGCCAUCAUUUAAAGAAAGCGUAAUAGCUCACUGGUCGAGUCGGCCUGCGCGGAAGAUGUAACGGGGCUAAACCAUGCACCGAAGCUGCGGCAGCGACGCUUAUGCGUUGUUGGGUAGGGGAGCGUUCUGUAAGCCUGCGAAGGUGUGCUGUGAGGCAUGCUGGAGGUAUCAGAAGUGCGAAUGCUGACAUAAGUAACGAUAAAGCGGGUGAAAAGCCCGCUCGCCGGAAGACCAAGGGUUCCUGUCCAACGUUAAUCGGGGCAGGGUGAGUCGACCCCUAAGGCGAGGCCGAAAGGCGUAGUCGAUGGGAAACAGGUUAAUAUUCCUGUACUUGGUGUUACUGCGAAGGGGGGACGGAGAAGGCUAUGUUGGCCGGGCGACGGUUGUCCCGGUUUAAGCGUGUAGGCUGGUUUUCCAGGCAAAUCCGGAAAAUCAAGGCUGAGGCGUGAUGACGAGGCACUACGGUGCUGAAGCAACAAAUGCCCUGCUUCCAGGAAAAGCCUCUAAGCAUCAGGUAACAUCAAAUCGUACCCCAAACCGACACAGGUGGUCAGGUAGAGAAUACCAAGGCGCUUGAGAGAACUCGGGUGAAGGAACUAGGCAAAAUGGUGCCGUAACUUCGGGAGAAGGCACGCUGAUAUGUAGGUGAAG